GAUGAACGCUAGCGGCAGGCUUAACACAUGCAAGUCGAGGGGUAGAGGUUGCUUGCAACCUUGAGACCGGCGCACGGGUGCGUAACGCGUAUGCAACCUACCUUUUACAGAGGGAUAGCCCAGAGAAAUCUGGAUUAAUACCUCAUAGUAUAUAACCUUCGCAUGUUGGUUAUAUUAAAGUUCCAACGGUAAAAGAUGGGCAUGCGUCCUAUUAGCUAGAUGGUAAGGUAACGGCUUACCAUGGCAACGAUAGGUAGGGGUCCUGAGAGGGAGAGCCCCCACACUGGUACUGAGACACGGACCAGACUCCUACGGGAGGCAGCAGUGAGGAAUAUUGGACAAUGGGCGCAAGCCUGGUCCAGCCAUGCCGCGUGCAGGAAGAAGCAUCUAUGGUGUGUAAACUGCUUUUGUACAGGAAGAAACACCCCGACGUGUCGGGGCUUGACGGUACUGUAAGAAUAAGGAUCGGCUAACUCCGUGCCAGCCGCCGCCGUAA
rnacentral:rRNA from 1 species